AGUGAACGCUGGCGGUAGGCCUAACACAUGCAAGUCGAACGGCAGCACAGGAGAGCUUGCUCUCUGGGUGGCGAGUGGCGGACGGGUGAGGAAUACAUCGGAAUCUACUCUGUCGUGGGGGAUAACGUAGGGAAACUUACGCUAAUACCGCAUACGACCUACGGGUGAAAGCAGGGGACCUUCGGGCCUUGCGCGAUUGAAUGAGCCGAUGUCGGAUUAGCUAGUUGGCGGGGUAAAGGCCCACCAAGGCGACGAUCCGUAGCUGGUCUGAGAGGAAGAUCAGCCACACUGGAACGGGGACACGGUCCAGCCUCCUACGGGAGGCAGCAGUGGUGAAUAUUGGACAAUGUGCGCAAGCCUGAUCCAGCCAUACCGCGUGGGUGAAGAAGGCCUUCGGGUUGUAAAGCCCUUUUGUUGGGAAAGAAAUCCAGCUGGCUAAUACCCGGUUGGGAUGACGGUACCCAAAGAAUAAGCACCGGCUAACUUCGUGCCAGCCGCCGCAGUAA
rnacentral:rRNA from 1 species